UUCACAGAGCUUGCUGAAACAAUAUGUCAGCUUCUAUCGGUAGUGGGUCAGUGGCAAGCGAUAGUAGCUGUUGCGGUUAAUAUGCAGAAGGUUAUCUUUUAAUGGUGGUGUGCUGCGGUAGAGUUUUAUUAUAUGAGGGCUGCAUAGGGAUGGUCAGUGGCAGACGAUUAUACUAGAGACAACGUAUGCUUUAUUCGUGCUUCAUCUGUUAAUUUAUAUGUCUAGGUCUCCAGAACUUCAGGGCGCUUCUCGGCAGGCUUUUGAAAUACAAGAUGCCCUAUUGUAUUACAGCAUGCAGUGAAGCAAACGGUCAAAAUACUGAUGGAAAUAAGUAAAGUGUAGAGUCUGUGACCCACAGGAGGGUGCUGAACUCGACAACAAAGAGUGCUAUGGUAACAGCGGCAGUAAUUUCUCAUGAAUUUGCAAGAUCUGCUUCUAAAAUCUUCACUGCAGUGGACAAAAGGCAGAAGUUUUCCCUUGGAAUUAAGUAAACCUCUGCUGGAUAUCUUCUGCAAACAAAAGCUGUGUAUCUGAACACCAAGAAAUAUUAUUUUUGUGAUUCCCUGCAAGGAGAAGCCUUGUCUGUACAGGAAUGGUUUAACUACACUCCUGCAAUUAAGGCAUACAGGAGAGAUCACAUGCAGCUUGCUUUCUGAGUGCAUCUUCGUGAGCAGUGAGGCAAACAGUGAAAAGAAUUUCAUGCACUGGGACACCUUGCUUCUGGACAGAAUGGCCAUUGUCAAAAUAAGGCCACCCAGCUAGAAGGAAACUUCCCUUCUUUUCCUGCUCCUUGAGUGCAUAUAUUCAUUUCAGAAAUGGAUGAGAUAACAGAUGAAAUGCAGACAUUUUGAAUUGCAGCAGAGGACAUAGAUUUAAAAGAAAAGAUGAGUGAUUGGACUGCCAAACUGUAACAUGGACAAACACAGUUUUUUGUGCUGCUUUGCACUAUAAACAGUGAGCAUGGCCAAACCUGACAUCCAUAUGCUUACAGAAGAAUUGUGCUGAAC